CAAGUCGUGGGGCAGCGCAGUGUAUCAAUACAUGGGCGGCGACCGGCAAACGGGUGCGUAACACGUACGCAACCUUCCCGUUACUGGUGAAUAGCCCAGGGAAACUUGGAUUAAUACACCAUAUUAUAUCGACUAGGCAUCUGGUUGAUAUCAAAGCUUCGGCGGUAACGGAUGGGCGUGCGGUUGAUUAGGUAGUUGGCGGGGUAACGGCCCACCAAGCCUACGAUCAAUAGCUGAUGUGAGAGCAUGAUCAGCCACACGGGCACUGAGACACGGGCCCGACUCCUACGGGAGGCAGCAGUAAGGAAUAUUGGGCAAUGGACGAAAGUCUGACCCAGCCAUGCCGCGUGGAGGAUGAAGGUCCUCUGGAUUGUAAACUUCUUUUUUCUGGGGCGAAAACCGGUCAUUCUUGACCAUUUGACAGUACCAGAAGAAUAAGCACCGGCUAACUCCGUGCCAGCAGCCGCGGUAAUACGGAGGGUGCAAGCGUUAUCCGGAUUCACUGGGUUUAAAGGGUGCGUAGGUGGGCAGGUAAGUCCGCGGUGAAAUCCCCGAGCUUAACUUGGGAACUGUCGUUGAUACUAUCUGUCUUGAAUAUCGUGGAGGUAAGCGGAAUAUGUCAUGUAUCGGUGAAAUGCUUAGAGAUGACAUAAAACACCAAUUGCGAAGGCAGCUUGCUACACGAUAAUUGACACUGAGGCACGAAUGCGUGGGGAGCAUACAGGAUUACAUACCCUGGUAGUCCACGCCCUAAACUAUGGAUACUCGACAUCAGCGAUACACAGUUGGUGUCUGAGCGAAAGCAUUAAGUAUCCCACCUGGGAAGUACGAUCGCUAGAUUGAUACUCACAGGACUUGGCGG
rnacentral:rRNA from 1 species